rnacentral:tRNA from 1 species
GCUCCUAUCGUCUAGUGGUUAGGACGUGACGUUCUCAUCGUCGAAACCGGAGUUCGAUUCACCGUGGGAGCA